AAAGAGUGCGUAAUAGCUCACUGGUCAAGUGGUUCCGCGCCGACAAUGUAGCGGGGCUCAAGCACACCACCGAAGCCGUGUCAUUCACGCGUUACUCUGCCGCAAGGCCAGGGGUGUGGAUGGGUAGGGGAGCGUCGUGUGGCCGGUGAAGCGGCGGGGGGACCCAGCCGUGGAGGCCACACGAGUGAGAAUGCAGGCAUGAGUAGCGAAUGACGGGUGAGAAACCCGUCCGCCGGAUGACCAAGGGUUCCUGGGGCAGGCUAAUCCGCCCAGGGUAAGUCGGGACCUAAGGCGAGGCCGACAGGCGUAGUCGAUGGACAACGGGUUGAUAUUCCCGUACCCGCUUUGGUUCGCCCAUGCCCAGGCUUGUGAUGCUAAGCGCCGUGAGCUGACGAUCCCUUCGGGGGGAGUCGGGGAGCCGCGUGACCCUCAUCUGUAGUAGGCAAGCGAUGGGAUGACGCAGGAAGGUAGUCCAGCCCAGGCGUUGGUUGUCCUGGGGUAAGGGUGUAGGGCGAGUCGUAGGCAAAUCCGCGGCUCAUGAUGCCUGAGACCUGAUGCCGAGCCGUUCGAGGCGAAGUGGAUGAUCCUAUGCUGCCGAGAAAAGUCUCUAGCGAGAACCAUGGCGGCCCGUACCCCAAACCGACUCAGGUGGUCAGGUAGAGAAUACCAAGGCGAUCGAGCGAACUAUGGUUAAGGAACUCGGCAAAAUACCUCCGUAACUUCGGGAGAAGGAGGGCCUCGGACCGUGUAGUCCUUUGCGGGCGAAGCGGUAAGGGGUCGCAGAGACCAGCGAGAAGCGACUGUUUACUAAAAACACAGGUCCGUGCGAAGUCGCAAGACGAUGUAUACGGACUGACGCCUGCCCGGUGCUGGAACGUUAAGGGGACGGGUCAGUGCCCUUCGGGGUGCGAAGCUCAGAACUCAAGCGCCAGUAAACGGCGGUGGUAACUAUAACCAUCCUAAGGUAGCGAAAUUCCUUGUCGGGUAAGUUCCGACC
rnacentral:rRNA from 11 species